rnacentral:rRNA from 1 species
GCAAGUCGAACGGGAUUAGUUGUAUUUAUAUGACUAUGAGAGUGGCGCACGGGUGCGUAACACGUAUACAAUCUGCCCCAAACUGGAAGAUAGCCCGGCGAAAGUCGGAUUAAUAUUCCAUAACAUUGCGAGAUGGCAUCAUCUUGUUAUUAAAGCUUCGGCGGUUUGGGAUGAGUAUGCGCAACAUUAGUUAGUUGGCGAGGUAAAAGCUCACCAAGACUACGAUGUUUAGGGGGUCUGAGAGGAUUAUC